rnacentral:rRNA from 1 species
UCCGGUGGCAAUGGCAAGAGGGACCCACCCGUUCUCAUCCCGAACACGGAAGUUAAGCCUCUUCGCGCUGAAUGUACUUGGCUGGACACGGCCCGGGAGACGAUGGCGCCGCCGGAU